UGAGAAAGCAAACCACAGCCAGCACGCGC
rnacentral:piRNA from 1 species